GUGAAUGGGCCAGUAGGUGGGAAAAGCGUGUUGAUGUGAUAGCCAGCGGGAAGCUGAAAAAAGCACUCAACUUUGUGUUUCUGCUGAGGAAGUUACAAACAACUGAUUGAGGAGGCUCGUUUUACGCAGGACAGCGUGCCAAGAGGGCAAACGAGUUGGAUGAUUACAGCAGAGUAAUGGCAAGAUGUGACUCAGCAGAUCAUAGGCAGGAAACCAGCUUCCUCCAGUGGCAGAGGGGGUGACUGGAAGAACUUGGGACUGAAGCCAAAGGAGGGUGAACGAGAGGGGCCAGG
rnacentral:lncRNA from 1 species